GAACAGGAACAGCAUCCCAGGGGGUUUCUCUAGAGCCGCACAGCCCCGCCCUCGCCCUCCCCAGCGAGCUCCGUGGUCCGGGGCCCGCGCUGCGCCGCCCCGCGCAAGCCAGGGGCUUCCCAACUCCUCAGCUCCUGGAUCUAGAAAUCCCCGCAGAGGAAUUUGGAUUCCGAGGCCGCAUUCGGCAUCUGCUGAACUAGAGAGGAGGAAAUGCAGGAGCUAGGGCCUACACCAGCCGGCGGGCGACCCUGCCGUGUGCUCCUGAGGACGAGCUGCGCGACGCGGACAAGGCACCCCGGGCCAGGUCUACGCUGUUUCCAUCAUUAUGAGCCAAAUACCAGCAUGCGGCCUGGUUAACAAGCGCCUGUGGAGACUCACAGAUCCCCAUUCUGAUCACGAACUGGAUUCACGGACCAUGCUCUCCCUUUCACCACAGGGCUGGAAGCCUAAAAACAGCAUUUCUGAAACUCACUCUCACUGGCACAGGGCCUAUUUAGAGUCCUCCCAUGGGAGAUACUGGUGUGAUACUGGGUGCACCGUCCUGCUCCUGCGACGCUGGCAGCCUCAUGUGGAAGCUUCCAAACAUGACAGAUAUGAGGUUUGGCCACCGGCUUCUGGGUGCCUUGCUGUGAAUCACCUACUCCCUAUGACUCACCACACAAUCCCAUGAUUCCUUUAUUUCCUGAUCACCUAAAUGCCACCAUGUUGCAGCUGGAGUCCCAGGGAAGCCAGUGGUGUAGGUCCAGGCUGAGCCUGAAGGCCUGAGAACCAGGAGAGCCACGCUGUGCGUCAACACUGAACAAACCUUAUCUCUAAUCAUCAUAAGAAACUGCAAAGUUUGGAGAAGUUUCUAUUACUCCGUCUAAAAGAUGAGAACACCGAGAUUUGGGGCGGUUAAAUCACUGCUACAGAACAUAACGUUAACCAGUGGCUGGCCACUGUCAUCAAUUCGCAAGUGGCCUAACCAUCCAUGAACAGUCCUGUGCUUCAGGGCAAACACUAGUUUUGUUUCCGCUAAGCUGCUGUCGAGGAGAAGUCCCAUUCUGUCCUCUUUCCCAGAAGCCACGUACAAAGUCACUGGGACAGGCGACAUCAUGUGCUGUGACUUUUAGCGGGGGGUGAGGAAGGCAGGAUUGGAUGAGUCCUUUCUGCAGGGAGGUCAGGCUGACGAGCAGAGAUCCAGAGAGGACACAUCAGACAAGAGGCAGAAGGCACAGCACAAAGACAAGCAGGCACAGAACAGUGUGGGUGGAGGACAGGGAGGGAUGAAGGGGAAACGUCAGGGCAGAGGUUCAGGGACAAGAUGAACACAAUGGCCUGAGCAGGAUCUGCAGAGGAGGCCCUCACCACGCAGUGUGUGGAUGCAGCUGUCGUCACAAGCCACUUUGUUCUAGACAGUAACCCAAACACUUUUCUGAUUAGUGAAUUUAAUUAUUUUUUGAAAUAUUUUAUUUAUUUAUUCAUGAGAGACCCAGAGAGAGAGGCAGAGACACAGGCAGAGGGAGAAGGGGGCUCCCUGCAGGGAGCCCGAUGGGGGACUCGAUCCCAGGACCCCGGGGUCACAUCCUGAGCCGAAGGCAGGUGCUCAACCACUGAGCACCCCAGGCGUCCCAGUGAAUUUAAUUAUGAAGUCAGGCUGAUAAAAUUGUACUAAAUACUAACUUUAACUUACAAAAAAAUAAGCAGUUACUGAGCACCAGCACAAGCACUGGACUACAUGAAUUUGUCUUAAAAAAAAAAAAUGAAAGUGAAACCAAUUGUCCACUUAAGAACUAGGACAGGUCUCCAUGCAGUGAUUAAAUAUAUUAAAAAGAAGAAUUCCAUUAUGUUUAGAAGCCAGCGCCACUGGAUGUUUGUCACAUAAACGGGAUCUGUUUAUUUUAAUACAAGUAGUUAGAGGCUCGGUUCAUAGGACACAAAGAAAAUGGAUUAGGAUCUUUUUUCCCUCUCUCUCAGAUGAUGUGGAUCUGAAUAUCUUCAUUUAGAAAUAUAAAUGGAGAAGAAAAGCUUCAUUGCACCAACUUUAAUUAGGUGGACAAAUAUUAUAUUAGUAAAUCAUCCACCUCAGGGGUAUUAUUUGGUCGAACCCGCGUUGCUUUAGGAGAGGGCAGCGCUUCUGAAAAUGAUCACGGGGAAGAAGACCGCGUGAUGACAGCCACAGAGCUCAUAGGGCAGCCGGUCAACUAAUGGGUCCUGUAAUUGGCACAGAGAUCAGCUUCUGCAGAUAAGGGAGGAAGCAUAAUCAUGUUGCUAAAAAUACACAUGGGCGUUGGGCUCUUCAAUAUCGAGUGGCUCACCCGGCACUAAGCGCAUGAAGCCAAGCACACUUGCAAAACAGCUGUGAGGAGGCGCCCAGAAUCCGUGAAUCUACAGAGAAGCGCGGGGAAUCGGGGCUUGGCUAGGCCAGAGGAGGAGAGCAGACCUGGGGACCUGCUAAUGGGGUCUCUUUUGGGGACAACGAAAAUGUUCCAAAACUAGAUCGCAGUGACGGUUGGCAGGACUGUGAAUAUAUUAUAAGGCAAUAAAGUGUAUUCUUGCGAUGGGUGAACUUUCUGGUAUGUACAUUAUAUUCCAACAGAACUGGUUGGGUUUUUGGGUUUGUUUGUUUGUUUGUUUUUUUAAAUCCUUUAAAAAAGAGAAUCACAGAGACACCAGCCUACAGCCUUGGUAUUUAGAUAUUUAGCCGCUGACGGCAAACCGACAAACAGCUUGUUGGGCAAAAAAUAAUCCUGGCUCCGAACAACCACUACCAGUCAGGGUUUGAUGGUGCCGAGCCGUCCAAAGUAUUCCUAACUCCCGCACCUUCGGUUUUCAUUCAACGGGUCCCACUGGGCCCUGAAUGCCCUCUGCAGGGCAGGCACUGUGCCACGUAGGAGAGCAACGGCUCCACAUUCCCUGCACUCUCGAGACGGGCCAGGUGGUUUCCACGCUGCGUGUCACCGGUGCCCAGGCCACCCCGGGGAGGACGGCCUGUCCCCCGGAGGCCCGCACGGAGGAGGGAGCCAUCCCCGUGGGUCAGCCCACUGCUCGCCUCGGGACCCUCCCGCCGUCCUCCCCGGAGCUGCACAUUCCCGGCCCCCCAUCGACUCGCUGAGUCGGAUCCACUGGUGGACACUCGGCCAUCGUGGCCCGGGACGCACUGGCCGUGAAUCUGCAGUCACGGGGCGCGCGAAGCUCGUUUGAGCGGAACUUGCCGGCAGGGCGAAAGCUCACCAGGAGCUCGGGUCGGAAGGCUUGGGAGCCGCGACGCAGGUGCAGGGCCAGCGUCUGUCCCGGACGCUGUGUCACACGGGACUGCCGGCCCCACCCGCGCGCUUCCUACCUGCUAAUGCGGGGCCUGCUGGGAAGGGGCUGCAGAGGGCUGCAGGUUGCACACAGGCACCCCUUAAAUCCAGGGUGCAGAGGCGCCUGGGGGGCUCCGUCGGUGAUGCACCUGCCUUCAGCUCAGGGCCCCAUCUCAGGGUCCUGGGAUCGAGUCCCCACUCGGGCUCCCUGCUCUGCCCCACUGGUGCUCUCUCUCUCUCUCUCUCUGUGUCAAAUAAAUACAUAAAAUCUUAUCAAUCAAUCAAUCCAGAUCUAGAGAGACAGAGGAAGUGAGAGACUCGAAGCCGUCCACGGCGGCGUGAAGAGGAAAAGGGGGCACGAAACGCCGGUGGCAGAGCCUCUGAGAGCAGGAAGCAGCCCCGGCUCAGGACCACCGAGGAGCGCAGGCCCCAGGCCUACUGCAGGGAACUGGAUUUUGCUAGAACUGCGGGAGCAGCCCCGCUGGCAUCAACCUUGUCAAACCCUCGGCAGAAGACCCAGCGCAGCGGUGCCCAGAGGCCUGACACCCCCCAAAACCGGGAGGGGACGAUGAACGUGGCUUCAGACGGCUAAGCCGGUGGCGAUUCUCACGUGGGAACAGAGGACUAAGAGCGAAGCCGAGCGAGGGGGGACAGGGUACGGGGGCGCCAGCGACGUCCACUCCGCGCGGCAGGAAGGGCCAGAGCGGCCCCCUGACAGCAAGGUCCUUAGACGCCCCCUGAGGACACGCGGAGGCUGGGGUCAGUCAGGGCCGCCGGCGGCGCCAGGCCCCGGAUCCCUCUCUCCAAGCCACUGCGACCACUGGGCGGUGGUAGCCAAGUCCUUCUACCCCCUGAGUCCUGGCCACGUUGCCCUGUCUCCGUGUCAGGAGGAAGCAGGUGGGCAAAGGGUCCGGCCAGCUGAGCGUGCUCUGUCCCACGGAGGACGCGAGAUGGUUUGUGAAAGCCUGCGGAGAAAACCCCCGCACGUGGGGAUUACCGGCCGCGGGCAUCCAGCUGCGCUGGUGUAGACCAAGCUGCCCUCCUCCCUGCCCCGGCCGGGGCUGUGUCCCCGGCACCACCUGCACACAUCGAGGCUUUCUUCCAAGAAGGGCACAGACAACCACGGCCGCCGAGCAGGCAGCUGGGGAGGCCGAGUCCUCACUAACUCGACAAGUAUUUAGGGGCACCUAUUUGGGUUAAGGCCCAAAUUUACAAAGAUGGUGUUGCGUGUGUGCCCACAGAUACGUGGGGUGUGGGUGUGUGUGGGGAGGGCGGAGGACACGGGCACGUAAACAAUAAUUAUAGUGAGAACUGCUUUCAUUGCCCAAUGAGACGUCUCUACCUCCCCACGGACCACACUGUCCUCCUCACCAUAGAUUCACCAGGCAGAUCACAAAAGUGCCUAUACUGGGACCCAAGAAAGCAUAUAUUGAUCUGUGCUUUUAAAAAAGAGAAAGUGUCUUCAUUGGUGGAAAAUAAAUUUAGAGCAAACUUCUAAGAACUAUUGAACUAAGUAUGAAUCAAUGCCGUGAACUAAAUCUAGGCAAGAGAAGUCGCUCUCAUUUAAAAUGCAAAAGUGAUAGACACACAGAUGCGCAAUGCUCUCCAAAUGCAGUGUUGCAACCCGGCUCUUUUAUGGGAACUGUGACACUGAGUGUUAACUUACAUAAGGUUCGCAGA